GGAUCCCUCUAGGGGGUGUCACAGCCAGAUCCACCUGCUUUUCACCCUACCCUCGGUGGGGUCAUGCAGAUUUGCAAAGUCAGCCUCACCAUGUUAAUUUAGACCGGGAAUGUUUGAGGUGGAAGGAACCUUAGAGAUCUAACACAACUCCCUCAUUUUACAGGUAUUUAUUGCAAAGCAUCUGUCAUUCCACACCAAGUCUUUAUAACCAGUGACAGUCAUUUCUCCUGUAACUGAGGCCAAGUUGGUGCUACUAUUGACAGAGUCAAUAUUUGAAAAUGAGUCUCCAUGACGGGGAGAGUUCUAAGGUGAAAGGAGCAGACACCAUU